AAUCUUUAAUAAAUCAUAGCAUCAUCAAGUGACCAAAGAUAUUUUUUGACAUUAUAUUUGAUCUCAAUUUAUCAAAGUUUUUGAAAAAAAAAUUCAUUGUCACUUCAUUAAUUGGAGAAUAUUUGUGUCUUAUUGCAAUUUAUGAAAACCAAGUUUUAUUUCUGUAAUAGAUACAUAUAGCAACAACAAAUAUUACGAUGUUAAAUAGUAGAUUGAUUUUUGCCUAACAGUCCACAAAGUGUUUAAAAAGCUGAUUUGUAACUUUUUUUUUUUUUUACAAACUUUAUUGUCAUCUCAAGCUUAUCCUGAAUAUAUACUUUUGUCAACAAUGUAACAAUGUAACAGGUCAACAUGAAGUCCUUACACGAUAAUUGUUAUAGUUUCUGUAGGACAUUCAUUGAUUGUCAUUCAUAAUAAAAAGCCCUAAAGUGUCUUUCAAAAUACAAAAAAAAACUGGUUGGGUCUUAAUUUAACAGCCCAUCCCUUGUUUAAUUUACUUUGUUGAUUUUGUACAUAUAUAUAUAUAAGAAGACAUAAGGAGAAUACACAAAUUAGAUGUAGAACUUACAUUUGUUUAAAUGUUGUACAAUGUUAUGUUACCUGUUAGUCUUAUGGGCACUGUGAAACAAUAUUUAAGUUAUCCUCCAUAAGUGGAUUGUUUAUACCUGUUUUAUUAAUUGUACUCCUUAUCUGUCAGAAAAGAACUUCCUUGAAUUGUAGAAAUAAUCCUGUGUCAUCGGUAUUGUUUUGUGUAAGGAAUUUGCUUUAAUAAUAGACCAUAUCCCUUUUUGGGAUUCUGCUAUACAUGUGUCCGACAUCAAUAAGUUGUGUGCUUUUAAAUCAGACAAUUUCUUUUGUGACAUAAAAGUUUACAGAAUUUCUGUAGUUCCUGCAGUGAAAGACAAAAAGAUAAAAGAGGAUAAUUUUUUGUUUGUUAGUUUUUGUUUAUAAGGCUAGCAAGACUUGAGUUUGUGGCACAGAACGAUAAAGGGACUAGAGAAUAAUUGGCUUGUUCAAAUAUACUAAUUACUAUUGGAUGUUGUUUAUAAGGUUACAUUUUAUUAUUAAUCACCUAAGGUUAACGGCACGUAUCAAUGAUGCAACAAAAAUUAGGCUUGUUUAAUUUUCUUAUGAUUGCAGUUUACUUUGGCCAUGGAAGUAUUAUAUUGACAUAAUACUUCCAUGCUUGAGCCUUAAAUCAGCUUAUGCCUUUUGAUUGAUAAAGUUCCAUUUGUGGUAAAGAGGUAAAGGGAGUGAAUGUUGUAAACUAUGAAUGAUUGGCUUAAAUUUAAAGGAAAACUGUGUUCUGUUUAUGUAUUUUUAUAUGAAACAAUGAAAAGGAAUCAUUCUUCUCUGUCACUAAAGUUUAUUCUGACAGGUAUUUUUAUUUAUUGAUUGACAGUUAAGAACCUAUUAGUUAGUAUUAUUAAUUUAAGUCUGACAAUCAGUGCUUAUAUUUUUAUAGUUGUUUAUUUUUAAUAUUUUAUUCCAAAACUAUCAAAUAUAUAUGGUCAGAUUUAAUUAUGAUAUAGUAUAUUUACAAUCGUU
rnacentral:lncRNA from 1 species